rnacentral:misc_RNA from 1 species
GUAUUAAUUGCGUUUGACCGCAAAAGAAAAGAAAACAUUCUACACUGUAUCAAGUUUUAUGUGAAAACGCAAGCCCUCCUGCAAAGGAGGGCCCACGCGGUGAUGCACAAAAGGGGUGAGAUGGAUGUGUGAGAGCACUCGAGCGUGCACAACCUUUGAAGGUCAGCGACAGCUCUUUGUGCCUCGGUUUUACAAUAAUGAUCCUUCCGCAGGUUCACCUACGGAAA